UUUUCAUUUCAAAUCGAUUCACACACAUAGCAGACGCUAACACAUCAAGCGUCAUCAAUAGCGUGGUCUGUGGUGCAAUGCUAUCGCUGGAGUAAGGCGUUUACCUUCAAUUCGGGUAGCGUCAUGAUUGGCCUACCCUGAUGGCGUCAUGAUCGCUGCUGAUUGCCUUUCAAAUAGGUUUUCAGCAUUCUGCUUACACCUUUGGCAUAGAGUCACAUAUUUCACAAUCCAACAUCAAUUGGUACCAACAGCAGCCCUUCUCUCCAUCAUCCAGAAGGGUCUGAGAUCAGUGUUGGAGAUGAUGGUUCGGAACAACCCAUGGAAAGCUUAUCACUCAUUGAUGCUGUGAUGCCUGAUGUUGUUGCAAGUCGUUAACAGCAAACACAGAACAAUCAGAAACCAAAGUGGUAAGACAGAACCACCAAAUUCCAAUGGAGAUGAACCCAUGCAUUCCUAUCGCUGGGAAGAGGAAACAGGAGUAGAGAUACUUGCCAGCAAAUCUAAAACUGUUCUGAUGGUACCAUCAAAGAGAGAGAAAGACAUCAGAUGAACAUCGAGGUCAUUCAGACUUACAAUCACUGAAAAAAUUACUAUCCUGUUUAUUGAAUAUACAGUGUAAUAACACCAUAAAACAUCAGACCACCUAAAUCAUAAUUGGGGGUAAUUUCAAAAAAUAAAACACGCGGUAGCCAACUGAUUUUUAAAA